rnacentral:rRNA from 1 species
CGCGAUUCGCCCUUAGAGUUUGAUCCUGGCUCAGGAUGAACGCUAGCUACAGGCUUAACACAUGCAAGUCGAGGGGCAGCGGGAUUGAAGCUUGCUUCAAUUGCCGGCGACCGGCGCACGGGUGAGUAACGCGUAUCCAACCUUCCGUACACUCAGGGAUAGCCUUUCGAAAGAAAGAUUAAUACCUGAUGGUAUGAUGAGAUUGCAUGAUAGCAUCAUUAAAGAUUUAUCGGUGUACGAUGGGGAUGCGUUCCAUUAGGUAGUAGGCGGGGUAACGGCCCACCUAGCCAACGAUGGAUAGGGGUUCUGAGAGGAAGGUCCCCCACAUUGGAACUGAGACACGGUCCAAACUCCUACGGGAGGCAGCAGUGAGGAAUAUUGGUCAAUGGACGAGAGUCUGAACCAGCCAAGUAGCGUGAAGGAUGAAGGUCCUACGGAUUGUAAACUUCUUUUAUAAGGGAAUAAACCCUCCCACGUGUGGGAGCUUGUAUGUACCUUAUGAAUAAGCAUCGGCUAACUCCGUGCCAGCAGCCGCGGUAAUACGGAGGAUGCGAGCGUUAUCCGGAUUUAUUGGGUUUAAAGGGAGCGCAGACGGGUCGUUAAGUCAGCUGUGAAAGUUUGGGGCUCAACCUUAAAAUUGCAGUUGAUACUGGCGUCCUUGAGUGCGGUUGAGGUGUGCGGAAUUCGUGGUGUAGCGGUGAAAUGCUUAGAUAUCACGAAGAACUCCGAUUGCGAAGGCAGCACACUAAUCCGUAACUGACGUUCAUGCUCGAAAGUGUGGGUAUCAAACAGGAUUAGAUACCCUGGUAGUCCACACGGUAAACGAUGGAUACUCGCUGUUGGCGAUAUACUGUCAGCGGCUUAGCGAAAGCGUUAAGUAUCCCACCUGGGGAGUACGCCGGCAACGGUGAAACUCAAAUGAAUUGACGG